UGCGGGAUGGAGUAGUCUGGUAGCUCGUCGGGCUCAUAAGCCGAAGGUCGUAGGUUCGCUUUCUAUUAAGAAAAGUGCUCCCGCAA
rnacentral:tRNA from 1 species